rnacentral:rRNA from 1 species
UACAGAGGUCUCAAGCGUUGUUCGGAUUCAUUGGGCGUAAAGGGUGCGUAGGCGGCGCGGUAAGUCGGGUGUGAAAUCUCGGAGCUUAACUCCGAAACUGCAUUCGAUACUGCCGUGCUUGAGGACUGGAGAGGAGACUGGAAUUUACGGUGUAGCGGUGAAAUGCGUAGAUAUCGUAAGGAAGACCAGUGGCGAAGGCGGGUCUCUGGGCAGUAACUGACGCUGAGGAGCGAAAGCGUGGGUAGCGAACAGG